rnacentral:rRNA from 1 species
UACGAAGGGGGCUAGCGUUGCUCGGAAUCACUGGGCGUAAAGGGUGCGUAGGCGGGUCUUUAAGUCAGGGGUGAAAUCCUGGAGCUCAACUCCAGAACUGCCUUUGAUACUGAAGAUCUUGAGUUCGGGAGAGGUGAGUGGAACUGCGAGUGUAGAGGGUGAAAUUCGUAGAUAUUCGCAAGAACACCAGUGGCGAAGGCGGCUCACUGGCCCGAUACUGACGCUGAGGCAC